rnacentral:sRNA from 1 species
CAACGGAAGCACAGACCGCUGCGGUCAAC